rnacentral:lncRNA from 1 species
AGGUGGUUGAGUUAGAAUGAAGGCCGACUCAGCCAAUAGUAUGAAUAUUUAUUACCCAGCGCACACAUUUUGAUGAACUCAAGAAGUCUCUAUGCCUUCAGAAACAAAGCCCAUUUCACAAAAGAGACGCAUCAAGACAAAACAAUAUUCUGAAGGUGAUGGUUAAUUGUAUGGAAACAUGAAAAGAACAUUUCAGUCUCCAUGGAAACCAUGUUGUGUUCUAUUAUGAUUAAUGCGAAUGUCAAACCUUGAGAAACUGAGAAAAGGAGCACUCACAGAAGCAUCUGUCUUCACGACUCAGAGAAUAGUGUCCUGUCCUCUGAUAGGAGAAGCUUUGUUGGAAGCUUAAGGAAUGCCUAUUUGCCCUUCAUCCACCCACAAAAUUAGACUUCUUUGGCAUCCAUAACUUGUAGAAUAGGAUGUGGAUACUGCUCUGUUUUUCAUGAUCCUUAAAGUGUGCAGAUCCACUGUCUUUCAAUAUCAGGGAAGAGCAAACUGCAAUUACUUACCAGAAAAAACUAAUUCCACAUUACCUCCUACCCAAGUUCUCAUCAAACCCAGUCUGAAGAAUUAACUUAAUGAGGAUUAAUUGAAGGAGAAACAGCCCGUCUACUUUCCAGAUUCCAGAGACAUCAGGAAUUUGUGACAUCUGUUGAUUUGGACAUUUUCACGGACAGCACCAAAUGGCAGUCGAGUUUAGCUUG